UAGGGAAUCUUCCGCAAUGGACGAAAGUCUGACGGAGCAACGCCGCGUGAGUGAAGAAGGAUUUCGGUUCGUAAAACUCUGUUGUUAGGGAAGAAAAAAUGUAUAGUAACUAUAUACAAAAGAGACGGUACCUAACCAGAAAGCCACGGCUAACUACGUGCCAGCAGCCGCGGUAAUACGUAGGUGGCAAGCGUUGUCCGGAAUUAUUGGGCGUAAAGCGCGCGCAGGUGGUUUAGAAAGUCUGAUGUGAAAGCCCACGGCUCAACCGUGGAGGGUCAUUGGAAACUAAUAAACUUGAGUGCAGGAGAGAAAAGUGGAAUUCCUAGUGUAGCGGUGAAAUGCGUAGAGAUUAGGAGGAACACCGGUGGCGAAAGCGGCUUUUUGGCAUGCAACUGACACUGAGGCUCGAAAGCGUGGGGAGCGAACAGG
rnacentral:rRNA from 1 species